rnacentral:lncRNA from 1 species
AAACUGGACUAAUAUUAUGAUUAUACCUAAUUUCAUAAAAAAAAAUUAUUCAAGAAUAUUUCUGUGUCUCUUAAGGAAUUAUUUAUAAUAGAUGAGUAAAAAGUAGGAUGUGUUUAGAGCACGGGAGAGGAGGAUAAGUCAUCUCAAGCUAUUUUCGUUACUGUUAUCCUACGAAGAAACAUCGAAACUAAAAAUCUAAAAGAAUGGAACACAACGACGACAAGAUUUGUUGCUAUUCUUGCAAGAAGAUUUACGGUAGUAUGAGUAUAAACAUAAUGGAACAAUCAAAUUUAAGAGAUUGUUAUCACAAUUACACUAUCACACCGUCUCGGAUGAAAAUACGAUUAUGUUUAUUUUGGACUUUAUGGGCUACUCUUAUACUGGUUCUUAUAACUUCUAUUUUUAUGUAUUGCUGUGUCUCAUGGCAAACAUGUCCUAAUCCGUUAAAAAAUGUUCAGUAAAUUAUGACAAAUAUAUUAAACUUAUUUGUUAAAGUUAAUGCUUUUAUAAUUAUCUUAGUAAAAAAA